rnacentral:rRNA from 1 species
UACGAAGGGGGCGAGCGUUGUUCGGAAUCACUGGGCGUAAAGGGCGCGUAGGCGGCCCUCUUUGUCGCGUGUGAAAGCCCCGGGCUCAACCUGGGAACGGCGCGCGAAACGGGGGGGCUGGAGUUCGGGAGAGGAGAGUGGAAUUCCCAGUGUAGAGGUGAAAUUCGUAGAUAUUGGGAAGAACACCGGUGGCGAAGGCGGCUCUCUGGACCGAGACUGACGCUGAGGCGCGAAAGCUAGGGGAGCAAACAGG